AUUGAACGCUGGCGGCAUGCUUUACACAUGCAAGUCGGACGGCAGCAUAAAAGAGCUUGCUCUUUUGAUGGCGAGUGGCGAACGGGUGAGUAAUGCAUCGGAACGUACCGAGUAGUGGGGGAUAACUGUCCGAAAGGAUGGCUAAUACCGCAUAUUCUCUGAGGAGGAAAGCAGGGGACCUUAGGGCCUUGCGCUAUUUGAGCGGCCGAUGUCUGAUUAGCUAGUUGGUGGGGUAAGAGCCCACCAAGGCGACGAUCAGUAGCGGGUCUGAGAGGAUGAUCCGCCACACUGGGACUGAGACACGGCCCAGACUCCUACGGGAGGCAGCAGUGGGGAAUUUUGGACAAUGGGCGCAAGCCUGAUCCAGCCAUGCCGCGUGUAUGAAGAAGGCCUUCGGGUUGUAAAGUACUUUUGUCAGGGAAGAAAAGCCUGAGGAUAACACCCUCAGGUCAUGACGGUACCUGAAGAAUAAGCACCGGCUAACUACGUG
rnacentral:rRNA from 1 species